GGGGCGCUGCUGGUGUCGCCAGAGAGGAUGCCACCGUCCUCGCAUCCUGCUGCUAGGCGUCCAGGAUAGACACGCUAGAUUCCAUCACCCUCAACUAGGGCGACGAGAUCAAUACCGUGUAUUCACUUUACUAAUCUUAUUGGUGAUGAGGGCUACGAGUGAUGAUACUAGCAUUUUCAUGUCAAGUGGGGUAUGAGAUCCUGUAAUUUUUCCAAUGGGAUGUAUGAGAUCAAUAUGUCAGUUAGUUAAUGGUCUUCAUCUUCCUUCUACUCGUAUAUAUGUCGUUCUUGCUCUGGUUUGAUGGUGGUGGUGUGCUAUGAAUUGAAGGCACAUCUGACACGUCAUCGAUUUUGCUCGUCGAGAAGACAAGCUCGACAAUGAAGGAGAAAAAGAAGAUGGUUCCAGCCACCAACGAAAACCGUACCCAGAUUUUCACAAGUGAACUACUAGUCUUGAUGGUUUGGGCAUGCCAUAUGUAUCCUGGAAGUUUCAGUGUAGCUAGCUGUGUAUCCUGGAAGCUACGUGGCGUAGUGAUGUGGCUGACGGAUUUUUCCUGGAAGUUUCAGGGUAGCUAGCUGUGUAUUGUUAGCUCUCCAAGACUUAAUAUUUUUUGAUGGCUAGCUGAUGUUAUUUUGAGAUAAAACAGGGUAGCUAGUUGUGUGUGUGUCGUGUUGGUUCUUGUGAUUGUAUCAAUCCGUGGACCUUUCAUCGAUGUGUAGCUUGUCUGAUUCAUUUUUUACUUUGGUUGACAAUGUAACUCUGAAUGUGUUGUAAUUUUUCCUUGUUGAUAUAUUUAGUAGGUGAUGUAGCUGUUAGAUUCAAAAAGGGUUCUUUCUAUUAGAUUCAAAAGUUUAAUAACUAUUCCUGAUAUUGUACUUGUGGAAUGCUAGAGAUGUAAAGAAAGGACAAUUGGUGUA